CAGCCGCCGCGGUAAUACCGGCGGCCCGAGUGGCGGUCACUAUUAUUGGGCUUAAAGCGUCCGUAGCCGGGUUGGGAAAUCCUCCGGGAAAUCUGGCCGCUUAACGGUCAGAAUGCCGGAGGAUACUCCCAGCCUAGGGAGCGGGAGAGGCCGAGGGGAUUCCCGGAGUAGGGGUGAAAUCCUAUAAUCCCGGGAGGACCACCUGUGGCGAAGGCGCUCGGCUGGGACGCGUCCGACGGUGAGGGACGAAGGCCAGGGGAGCAAACCGGAUUAGAUCCCCGGGUAGUCCUGGCUGUAAACGAUGCGGACUUUGUGUCGGACAAGCUAUGAGCUUGUCCGGUGCCGGAGGGAAACCGUUAAGUCCGCCGCCUGGGGAGUACGGCCGCAAGGCUGAAACUUAAAGGAAUUGGCGGG
rnacentral:rRNA from 1 species